AGUAACCAUUGCUGGUUUUCUUGGGCUACUGGUCUGGAAAGCAACCCCAGAGCUCCAAAGAAACAUUCCCUUAAGAAUAUCUUCCGGAUACUUCCAGAAACUGAAUCAGGAAUGGGAAUCCUUUCAUCCUGUAUUUGUCAGUCUAUCUGUCCUUACAGUGCCUGUGCACCAUUGUCUUCUAACAGAUGGAAUGUCUAGCCCGAUGAUCGGGACCAACUCCCACUCCCCCAAGCCCUGUUUGCCAGUCCAGAGCUACGGCACCCGCCUUCCAUGCAACAUUGAAGAGG